UGUGCACCUGCGGUCCCACAAAUGAGAAUAAGAUACAAUUUUCAAUCUUUAAAAUAAUGAAUAUCGAGAUAGGCUCCCUCGAACCAAUCCCAAGGAACUUAAAUAUAAACCAGGAUCACAAAACCCUUUAUUAAUAAGAACUACAUUUUUUUCCAGCUGUUCCAGCCGACUAUGCAAGAGUCCAACCCAAAAUCUGGCCAAGGAGCACUCAAAACAAUAGAUCCAUAGCUAUAUCUCAGCCAAUUAUGACCCGAUCCUGAAAAGGGAUACCUUCUAGGACUUCUGGAUCGAUUCCCCAUCGUUCUGCAUCAAAAUCCGGACGGAUAAUAUUUUUUCAAAUUUUUCAUAAUUUUUGUGGCCAGAUCCCUUCCAGAAGGCGGGAUUUCCAUAUAGGGCCCCGAUCUAUGGCUAUAUCUCAGCCAAUUCUGAUCCGAUCUUCAAAAGGGAUGCCUUUUAUGAUUAGGGGGUCGAUUUCCUCUCAUUCUGCAUCAAAAUAAGUACCCAAUAUAGUUUUUAAAAUUUUUUUUCCUUUUUUGUAGAGAUACCCAUUGAAAAGUGCUCGAUUUGUGUAAUUUUAGUGCCCAUUUUGCUAGAAUGCUUGGGAAAAUAGUUGCUCCGCCACUCUUGCGGCAAAAAGAGAACCAUGCUUAAUCAUAAAAUAAAAAAUUUAAAACGCAAAUCAAUAAAAUAAAAUCAGCGAACAAAAUAUAAGAUUCACACGGGCGAGCAACCUUACAAGAGCCCACUUUUAGCUUUUUAAAAUAAAAUAAAUUAAGAAAAAUGUUUAAAAAUAAAAUAAUAAAAUGAGGAAAGAAGGAAAGAAGGCAUGUAGUAUUGUCGCCAAAGCUACAAAACCCAUGAAUAAAAAUAAAUAAAAAGAAAAAAUAAAAUAAAUAAGAGAUAGAAGUAACCCACACGGGAGAGAGACCGUACAAGAGCCCAAGUUGGAAAUUAGAAAAAAUAAUAAAUAAAAUAAUAAUUAAAAUAAA